GACGAACGCUGGCGGCGCGCUUAACACAUGCAAGUCGAGCGAUGAAACUUUAACAGAACCCUUCGGGGCGAAGAUACAGGGGAUUAGCGGCGGACGGGUUAGUAACACGUGAGUAACCUGCCUUAGACAUUGGGAUAGCCUCCGCAAACCGGGAUUAAUACCAAAUAAAAUCAUAAUGACACUUGUCAUAACGAUCAAAACUCCGGUGGUCUAAGAUGGACUCGCGUCGCAUUAGCUAGUUGGUAGAGUAAAAGCCUACCAAGGCGACGAUGGGUAGACGGGAAGUGAGAGACGGCCGAGACUUUGAAGGGAGGCAGCAGUCGAGAAUCCUACGGGAGGGAGGAGUGGGUGAUACAGCCAAGUGGAGUGAGCGAAGAAGCUGCGAGGAUGGGUGAGCGAAGAAGGUUGUGGAGAAGUAAAGUACGUUUAUAUGGGAAGGUAAUGACGGUACCAUAAGAAAAAGCCCCGGCUAACUACGUG
rnacentral:rRNA from 1 species